CCUACGGGGGGCAGCAGUGAGGAAUAUUGGUCAAUGGGCGCGAGCCUGAACCAGCCAAGUCGCGUGAGGGAAGACGGUCCUAUGGGUUGUAAACUUCUUUUAUAUGGGAAUAAAAUGUUCCACGUGUGGGAUUUUGUAUGUACCAUAUGAAUAAGGAUCGGCUAACUCCGUGCCAGCAGCCGCGGUAAUACGGAGGAUCCGAGCGUUAUCCGGAUUUAUUGGGUUUAAAGGGAGCGUAGGUGGAUUGUUAAGUCAGUUGUGAAAGUUUGCGGCUCAACCGUAAAAUUGCAGUUGAAACUGGCAGUCUUGAGUACAGUAGAGGUGGGCGGAAUUCGUGGUGUAGCGGUGAAAUGCUUAGAUAUCACGAAGAACUCCGAUUGCGAAGGCAGCUCACUGGACUGCAACUGACACUGAGGCUCGAAAGUGUGGGUAUCAAACAGGAUUAGAUACCCUUGUAGUC
rnacentral:rRNA from 1 species